rnacentral:lncRNA from 13 species
UCUGAGUAAAAGGUGUGGUUUUCCAGGACUUAAUUACAUAAAGAUGUUCCUAAAGAUGUAAAAGGUUUUCCAGGGACUUAAAGGCUUUAAUAAUAUUAAUAAUAUAUAAAGAUGUUCCUCCUCUGUAACUUGGCAUUCACAUGAGUCUUUCUGUAUGUUCAUUUACAUUGAUUGAUUUGCUUCGGUGGAGAAGGAGGAGACAAACGAAAACAUUAAAGCUUAAAGUACUUUAGUUCCUUUUUCAAAAAUAUUGUUUAAUGAAUCACGAGUAAAUUAGUAAGUUAUUUUUUGGUAUCAUUUCUAUGUUUAAGAUUAAAAAAUAAAAAUAAAUAAUUUGGUGCAUUUUCCCCCCAUAUUCUCUGUAUUGUUAUAAUACUAUAAUAUAUUACAUCUUUCUUGAAUAAAUUCCUACAUUUCUUUUUUGUUUUUCCUCCUUCAACAACUCUUGAGCCUCCAUUGUUUCCACGGAUGAAUACGGCCCAGGAUCCUCUUCACCACGGAUUCAAACUGCCGGGAAUAUACACUGUUCUGCCGGUGCACCAUGUUAUCAAGUCAUUCACCAGACAACACAGUGUUCGUAAUAAAAACGACAUUUAUUACUUUCUCCGUAUACAUAUAAUUAUGUCUGGUCUCUGCUGACUGAGUUACUCUGGAUAAAUUAAAACAGUUUAAUGAUAUUUAAAUCCACCCCCCAAAAAAAAAGCUAACAAAACAAAUUAAUCUAAAAAUCUGUGUCAUAUUGGACCCGAUUAUCCACGGAUAGGUAUUCACAAAGCGUCUCAGGGAAGGCUGAUCCAGGACCAGUUUUACCUUUUAAAUCAUAAUGAAUAAGACAAUAUGAACACGGGGGGACCUGAUCCUAGACCAGCCGAAAUAUCAAACUGCACUCUAUCACCCUAUUAUAUAGUAGAGCCCUAUCUAUCAACCAGAGCACUGGGGAAAUGGUCACAUUUUAGACACACCCAGGGGUGUGGUCAGGGGUCACUUGGAGGCGGAGCCUUGGCUAGAACCUCCUGCUUGUUGCUUCUGAUGCUUCAGGUAAUGUUUC